CAACCAGGAAAUUGCAGCUCGCGCUCCCUGGCAAUACUCAGGUAUUGCUGGCGCCGACUGCCAUUUCGGAAGUCAGGCUGGGGUCCCGCUUAGCCGCGGAAAGUUGCCUGGAAGAGAAGGGUAGCCUCGGCACCCCGAGUCUGGCAUGGGGGUGCUGCAAGGGGGGAAGCAAUGCGACCUGUGGACCCGAAAAACCCAGUAAGACUAAGAAAAGAAAUACACAUUGGUUUUGUGCUCUUAAGAACCGCUAAUCCCACCGAUUCGUUUAUGUCCCAAUAAUGUUUCUCUUUUCCCAAACAAAUAUAUUUCUCACGGGGUGUUUUAUGAGCGCUGGGGGCAGAAAAAAAAAAUCGGAACAAAGACAGUAUUUCACCCUUCGGUUGGCAGGCAGCUGUUAAAGGUAUUUACGGCUCUACUGCAGUGCGGCACUCAAUGCUGCUGUAGUGCGAGGGGAAAAAACAGGAAGUGAAAGGGAAAGAUGAGGCACAAUAAACCUUGCAGCGAGGCUUUGGGGCCGGGCUGGGCGCGGAGGAAGGAUCCCUGCCAGAGACAAGAGGCAAUAAAACCGCAUUCAGUGCCGCGGGGGCUGCUCACACCCCGGAACCUCCGCGGAUGCGCCUGGGGGAGGGGACGGCCGGGGAGGGCGGCAAGGUGGGAUCUCCCCCACCCGUGCCCCUCCGGCCUCCCCUCGAGGAGCACCCUGCGAGGCCAUGGGGGCCGUGGGGACGGCCGGCCCCGUCCCAGCCGCCCCGCCGAGCGCCUCCAGGUGCGCCCCGAGGGGGCGGCCCCGAGGCGCGGCGCCUCCGCGGUCCCUCGCGGAGCCCGGCGCGGGCGCCGUGGGACGGGGCCGGCCGGAGGCUCUCGGGCCGCUCAGGGCUGCGUCAAGCUCCGCGGAAGCCUCCGCUGUCGAGGCCCGGCCGUGGGGUGGGCUUUCGUGGGACGCGUUAGGGACGCCGCGGCCCCGACGGCGCGGUCCAGGGUCACCUGCCCGCGGUGCCCGCCCUCGGGGCCGCCGGGCCUCGGCGCGGUGCUGCCGCCGGGGGCGCGGCAGGGCCCCGCGCCGCCACCAGCCAUUUUGUCUCCCACGGCCUCUUCCAGGAGAAGGCGCUGUAGGACAAGCCUGGCCGCCUUCCCUGCCCGGGAGAGGGACCCUCCGCCCCGCCGCCCCCCGCUGCCCGCCCCGGCCCCCGGCCCGCAGCCCCGGCCUACGGCCACGGGAGAGGCCCACCGGAGGGCCGGGAGCACCGCCGCUCUUUGGGGGUCCUCCCCCUGGAAGUCGCCCCUCUACCUCCAGCGACGCGGCCUCCGGCCCGUCCCGGGCCCUGCGCGCAUCCUUGCGGCCCCUCCGCGCCCCCCGAGACGGGCAGCGACCCCGGGGCUUACGGCGAGCGCCCCGCCGCCCUCACGGCCCCCAGAGCGCCGCCGAUGUCGGGCUGCCACCGCAUCCCCGCCCGCCCCUUCGGCCUUUUCGAUGUGUCCCCCGAGCCGGGACGGCGGGUCCUCCUUCUGCCCCUCACCUGCAGCCCCCGGGGCUCGCCUUCCCCCGCCGUCGCCCGGACGUGACCCCGGCGGCCCCCGGGCCGUGCCUGCCCUAGCCUGCCGCUCCCACGGCCCCCGGGCUCCCCUCCCUGCCCC
rnacentral:lncRNA from 1 species